rnacentral:rRNA from 1 species
AUGAACGUUAGGAGAGUUUUGUGCCAAAAGAUUGCUAGCACAUAUGAUUCACAAGUUGUCGCGUUUGUGAUACACGGGGUACCUAUGAGAAUAACCUUGCAAGACGUAGAACACAUCACAGGCCUGCCCAGCAUGGGGAGGGACUAUGUCCCUCCUCCGUUCAAAGAAGUGCAGGACUUAUGGCUUGAUUUAAAGGAUCCCGAAGAUAACAAACUGACCUUGAAAGGUCUUCGUAAGAAGAUGAUUGGCGAAGAGAGGCCACGGUUUGUGAAGCCUUAUGUCUUGUACACCAUUGGCAAUGUGAGGAAGUUUGUGAACGGUGCCGCGAACUUGGAGGGGAAUCUCCCACUACUGCAGGUAGUACAAACUCUUCCUAUGAUAUUCUUUAAUUGGUCAAUUAUGUAUUCUUUUUAA